rnacentral:rRNA from 1 species
AUAACCUGCCAGACAGGGAAACUGCGUACGGCUCAUUACACCAGCCUUAAUUUACUUGACCUUGACAACCUACUUGGAUAACUGUGGUAAUUCUAGAGCUAAUACAUGCACCAAAGCUCCGAUCCUCGCGGAGAGGAGCGCAUUUAUUCGCCACAAAACCAAGCGCCCAUCUGGGCGUCCAGUGCUGAACCAGAACAACUCAGCUGAUCGCACGGUCUUGUACCGGCGACGUGUCUUUCAAGUGUCUGCCUUAUCAACUUUCGAUGGUAGUGUACCUGACUACCAUGGUUGUGACGGGUAACGGAGGAUAAGGGUUCGACUCCGGAGAAGGGGCCUGAGAAAUGGCCACUACGUCUAAGGAUGGCAGCAGGCGCGCAAAUUACCCACUCUCAACGCGAGGAGGUAGUGACGAGAAAUAACGAGACCGUUCUCAUACGAGGCCGGUUAUUGGAAUGGGUACAAUUUAAA